rnacentral:rRNA from 1 species
GAUGAACGCUGGCGGCGUGCUUAACACAUGCAAGUCGAACGGAAAGGCCACAGCUUGCUGUGGUACUCGAGUGGCGAACGGGUGAGUAACACGUGGGUGAUCUGCCCUGUACUUCGGGAUAAGCUUGGGAAACUGGGUCUAAUACCGGAUAGGAAUCACAUGUGGGUGUGUGGUUGGAAAGCUUUUGCGGUAUGGGAUGAGCUCGCGGCCUAUCAGCUUGUUGGUGGGGUAAUGGCCUACCAAGGCGUCGACGGGUAGCCGGCCUGAGAGGGUGUACGGCCACAUUGGGACUGAGAUACGGCCGAGACUCCUACGGGAGGCAGCAGUGGGGAAUAUUGCACAAUGGGCGCAAGCCUGAUGCAGCGACGCCGCGUGGGGGAUGACGGCCUUCGGGUUGUAAACUCCUUUCGUCAGGGACGAAGCGAAAGUGACGGUACCUGGAUAAGAAGCACCGGCUAACUACGUG